GACGGAGGGGGCUAGCGUUGUUCGGAAUGACUGGGCGUAAAGGGCGCGUAGGCGGUUUUUUAAGUGAGGCGUGAAAGCCCUGGGCUUAACCCAGGAGGUGCGUUUCAUACUGGAAAGCUUGAGUACGAGAGAGGAAAGCGGAAUUCCUAGUGUAGAGGUGAAAUUCGUAGAUAUUAGGAAGAACACCAGUGGCGAAGGCGGCUUUCUGGCUCGUAACUGACGCUGAGGCGCGAAAGCGUGGGGAGCAAACAGG
rnacentral:rRNA from 1 species